GUUGUGAAAUGUUGGGUUAAGUCCCGCAACGAGCGCAACCCUUAUCCUUGUUUGCCAGCGAGUAAUGUCGGGAACUCCAGGGAGACUGCCGGUGAUAAACCGGAGGAAGGUGGGGACGACGUCAAGUCAUCAUGGCCCUUACGAGUAGGGCUACACACGUGCUACAAUGGCGCAUACAGAGGGCGGCCAACUUGCGAGAGUGAGCGAAUCCCAAAAAGUGCGUCGUAGUCCGGAUCGGAGUCUGCAACUCGACUCCGUGAAGUCGGAAUCGCUAGUAAUCGUGGAUCAGAAUGCCACGGUGAAUACGUUCCCGGGCCUUGUACACACCGCCCGUCACACCAUGGGAGUGGGCUGCAAAAGAAGUAGGUAGUUUAACCUUCGGGAGGACGCUUACCACUUUGUGGUUCAUGACUGGGGUGAAGUCGUAACAAGGUAGCGCUAGGGGAAUUUGAUCAUGGCUCAGAUUGAACGCUGGCGGCAGGCCUAACACAUGCAAGUCGAGCGGAAACGAGUUAUCUGAACCUUCGGGGAACGAUAACGGCGUCGAGCGGCGGACGGGAGAGUAAUGCCUAGGAAAUUGCCCUGAUGUGGGGGAUAACCAUUGGAAACGAUGGCUAAUACCGCAUAACGCCUACGGGCCAAAGAGGGGGACCUUCGGGGCUCUCGCGUCAGGAUAUGCCUAGGUGGGAUUAGCUAGUUGGUGAGGUAAGGGCUCACCAAGGCGACGAUCCCUAGCUGGUCUGAGAGGAUGAUCAGCC
rnacentral:rRNA from 1 species